rnacentral:lncRNA from 1 species
CAAUGCGAUUGACCCAACUCGAGAUUUUCAAUUGAUGGGCUCCGAAGAUCUCUAAGAUUGACCAGCCAGCUCUUGGACAAUGACAUGAGGUUCUGUCAAGAAAGAAAAGGGGCACGAUCAGGAGAUUGGGCGAGAAAAUCAUUUGGCUCCGAAACUUCUGAGACAGGAGAGGUUGAGUGGGAGGUUGAAGCGCUUAUAUCACAGUAGUAGUAGCACUAUGAUAGGGUCCCACAGCAGCCGUAGCGGCAUUGGCCUUUCUUUCUGUUGGUGCUUGUGUGGUAUGAGAUGCCGGAGAAUGCCUAGGGGAAUUUUGGCUAUAUAGAUAUAGCUCUUGGCUCGGCCUCGGUCUAUUAUGAAAAAAAAGAGAUGGAAAUUUAAGGAAGGCUCAAGUCAAGUGAACGAAAGCCGCUUUCAAGCUCUCGCCUCCCCCCUUGGCUAUAGAAAUGUAAUUAUGGACAGCCCCCUUAUAGUCAGGAAUUCGAGGCAUAGAUUACCUCCGUGGGAUACAUAACAUAAAAACCGGCCGAGGCCUUUACCUUUGGCAUUUCCCAUCCUUUUCAUCCAUAUAGGUGAAGGGCAAAGGAAGCGAAGCGAGUUUACGAGGUUUUACGAGCUUACAGGUCUUUUGUCAGACUUUCCUUCAAGCCAGGCAGUCUCAUUCCAGUUUAUGGCUAUCCAAUUUCUCUUUCUCCCUCAAGUUAUGUUACAUCGCCUUCCAUUCCUUCUCCGGGGACUCCUUCUUAGCUAGAGAUUCAGUAAGGGGCUCUGGCUCUUCUAAUGAAUAGUGCUCUAUCUAGGCAUGUUAGCUUUCUUUUAGGAUAGCAGAUUCGUUUUCACGCCUUUACUUUCCCCUAUCUAAUAAAGAGAGUAUCAGCACUUGUUAUUGCAGUAGUCGUCCCUUCCAGCGAGUGCUCUUUCCCCUUCCCCAGAUCCAGUUACAAUUUGAGUUGCUUUUGGAGAUAGGCCGCAUUCUCCUUCAAUAGCAAUAGCUAAGGCCUUCCUUUUGUGCUAAGGCCGGAAAGUGCCAGUCCUUCUCCAUAUGAGUCAAUAGGGUCCAGAUCAAAUAGGCCAGCCAAUAAGGUAGUAAGAACGGCCGAUAGAGAAUAGAACCAGUUUCUCCUAUUUUAUAGAUUGAUUUCCUUGCCUUACUACCGAGAUAACGUGCCUAAGUAGCAUAACAAUCAAGAAAGGGUUAAGAGUCAUAGCAAGCAGUAAGAAGGUGAAGAACGGGCCCGGGCCUACCCUUAGAUAUGCUUCUAUUCUCCCUAAUAUCAUAUCAUAAAUCGUUCACUUUCUGCUUUUAUAGUCCUGAGCCCUCUCCCUAUGUUCAGUGCCUAAUUUCUUAGUAACCUAUCCCCUUUCCUUUAGUCGAGAAUAGGUUUCAUACGAGUCAGGGCCUUUGGCCUGUUCAUUGGGUCAAAUCUGUCUGACAUCGUCCCUUCUCUUGAUCUCCUUCGGUUAUAUGUAAUUUUUUUUUUAGUCUUCCAAAUCUUUCUAUGGUUCGUAAAGGCACCUUUCCCUUCCCUUGAGGAGCUGGCUGGACUACACUCUUACAGAAUUAGCGGAUUUGUCUCAAAGAGGCUUUCGAGGCCUUGAUGCCUGCUAUCUUCUUAAAGAGGAGGGGAUUAAACGAUUAGAUUAGGCUCCUCGAGACCAAGCGCACUACAGAACUAUCUGACCUUCUACCUCCGUUAGCCACAAGCUCUCCCUUCCCCACAGGGACUGAUUAUUAGUCAAAUAGGGCCCUUGGCUCCUAAGAAAGUUCUGGAUUCUGGCUCAUAAAUCUCUCAACCCACACCUCUUUCUUUGGCGCCGAAGUCGACGACGAAGAAGACAUUUCUAUACAGAUCCUGGUAUUUUCUGAUUGUAGAACAAUCAGGCAUUCCCCCUAAGAAUGAAAGCAAGACGAUUUCUUUACUAAUUCUGUGUAAUGAAUGAAAAUCUGAAUGAGCUUCUUUGAGGUAUCCAGGGGUUUUUGACCUGUUUUUGGAUUGGAAUUCCAUGUUCAACCAAGUCUGAAACUGGAAUAACCGUUCUGUUCUUUCAAUCCCCAAUCCCUUCUUGGCUUUUCUGCUGAGACUGUUCCUAUCCGAGUUUGCUGUAUGAAGCAUAUACCCAUUUACUCACAACAGUUUUCAGGAUGCCACUUCUUCUGAUUCCAGCCAAUUCAUCCUUCUAUGUCGCCCUCUAUCUCAACGAAACAAGGCUUAACUUACAAUGAGUUUUUUGAUCUUCCUCGUCUGCUUUUGCCCAUGUUAAGAUACCUUUGCGAUAGAAGAAACACAAGGAAUAAAGACUCGUGUUCA